rnacentral:rRNA from 1 species
GAUGAACGCUGGCGGCGUGCCUAACACAUGCAAGUCGAGCGUGAUUUACGAGGACGAAACUUCGGUCUAGGAAUCAUAAUGAAAGCGGCGGACGGGUGAGUAACGCGUAGGCAACCUGCCCUUGACACAGGGAUAGCCUCGGGAAACCGGGAUUAAAGCCUGAUAACGCCAAAGAGUCACAUGGCUCUUGGGCCAAAGAUUUAUCGGUCAAGGAUGGGCCUGCGUCUGAUUAGUUAGUUGGUGGGGUAACGGCCUACCCAGACGACGAUCAGUCGCCGACCUAAGAGGGUGAUCGGCCACAUUGGAACUGAGACACGGUCCAGACUCCGACGGGAGGAAGCAGUGGGGAAUCUUGGACAAUGGGCGCAAGCCUGAUCCAGCCAUGCCGCGCGAGUGAAGAAGGUCUUCGGAUUGUAAAGCUCUUUUGCCAGGGACGAUAAUGACGGUACCUGGAGAAUAAGCCCCGGCAAACUUCGUGCCAGCCGCCGCAGUAACAC